GACGGAGGGUGCAAGCGUUGCUCGGAAUCACUGGGCGUAAAGGGUGCGUAGGCGGCUUGGUGGGUCUGGUGUGAAAGCCCCGGGCUCAGCCCGGGAAGGGCACUAGAAACUGCCGAGCUGGAGUGCCGGAGGGGAGAGUGGAAUUCCUGGUGUAGCGGUGAAAUGCGUAGAUAUCAGGAGGAACACCGGUGGCGAAGGCGGUUCUCUGGGCCUGUACUGACGCUGAGGAACGAAAGCGUGGGGAGCGAACAGG
rnacentral:rRNA from 1 species